ACUUUAUUGCAAUGUGUAGAUUUCAAGUUAUGGUGUAACAAUGAAAGUCUGACUAUUUUGCCUGUUUUCAAAAUUAAAUAGAGACUGUUAUCUCUACUGCACUGACCAAUUAAUCUCCU